ensembl:lncRNA
UUCAGUCCCUGCACACGUUUGUUUUUUUUCAGAAGGGUAUCAAGUCGCUCGCCCAUCUGUGAUGCCGACGGCACGGAGUUGGCUGAGACACGAGCGCACACCGGCGCUUGAAAUACACACACAAGUUACAUAAAGACACGGCGCGACGCACACACGUCCACAGAUGUGAGGAUGUUCUGCUCAUCACAUCCUCAUGUGAGCAUUUGUAUCCAGAAAGGGACGUUCUGGAUGCUCAAAGAAAGACCUCAAGUCCUCUUUUUAUGUUCAAGACAGAUGAAGUCGAUGAAACUCGACAGUCUUCGGUCGUUAGAAGGAAGAACCGCGACAGGCGAGCGCUCGUUUCCCUUCCCUGAGAUUUAGUGUCAGUCAGACGGCCAAUUAAGAUCCGCACUGAUGGACGAGCACGGAAUGAAGAGUCACACCCUGCUCUCCAACUGGCCACGCAAGCUUCCCACAUUCCAACCUGCACCGCUGUCUUUUCAGGUAAGACGAUGAGCCGCUAUUAGCAUCGACGCUAGUUUCGUCAUAGAGUAAUCCGUGACGGCCGUCACACCUGAGGCUCUUUGGAUUUUUAGAGUGUACAAGGGGGGAGGUUCUUAUCUGAUCCAGACCACUUUAGGACAACACCUGUGGCAUCCAGGACGAUAUAUUACCACCUAAGUAGCCGUGAGCCCC